GAUGAACGCUGGCGGCGUGCCUAAUACAUGCAAGUCGAGCGAACAGACGAGGAGCUUGCUCCUCUGACGUUAGCGGCGGACGGGUGAGUAACACGUGGAUAACCUACCUAUAAGACUGGGAUAACUUCGGGAAACCGGAGCUAAUACCGGAUAAUAUAUUGAACCGCAUGGUUCAAUAGUGAAAGACGGUUUUGCUGUCACUUAUAGAUGGAUCCGCGCCGCAUUAGCUAGUUGGUAAGGUAACGGCUUACCAAGGCAACGAUGCGUAGCCGACCUGAGAGGGUGAUCGGCCACACUGGAACUGAGACACGGUCCAGACUCCUACGGGAGGCAGCAGUAGGGAAUCUUCCGCAAUGGGCGAAAGCCUGACGGAGCAACGCCGCGGGAGUGAUGAAGGUCUUCGGAUCUUAAAACUCUGUUAUUAGGGAAGAACAAAUGUGUAAGUAACUAUGCACGUCUUGACGGUACCUAAUCAGAAAGCCACGGCUAACUACGUG
rnacentral:rRNA from 1 species